ACAAGAAAUAGAGGUCGCGGGUGCGACAACAGCUGACGAGUGGCGGACACUUUGACUCAGCCUUUAAGCAAACCCGCCGAAACGGUAACAUGCCGUACAUGUUGCACGUUGGGCCAGAUGGGGAAACCUUCUGGACUGUCUCGGUAGCUACCAGGCUACUGAGGAGCGCUAUAUGGUUG
rnacentral:ncRNA from 2 species